UUCGAUCGGAUCCACGGCCCGGGUGACGACCAGGUAAUCGCGGAUCGCGGUGCCGUGUCGAUCCUC
rnacentral:sRNA from 1 species